UACGAAGGGGGCUAGCGUUGCUCGGAAUCGCUGGGCGUAAAGGGUGCGUAGGCGGGCCUUUAAGUCAGGGGUGAAAUCCUGGAGCUCAACUCCAGAACUGCCUUUGAUACUGAGGAUCUUGAGUUCGGGAGAGGUGAGUGGAACUGCGAGUGUAGAGGUGAAAUUCGUAGAUAUUCGCAAGAACACCAGUGGCGAAGGCGGCUCACUGGCCCGAUACUGACGCUGAGGCGCGAAAGCGUGGGGAGCAAACAGG
rnacentral:rRNA from 1 species